AUACAUAGGUAUAUAAAGCGAUACGCAGGGAAGUGAAACAUCUCAGUACCUGCAGGAGUAGAAAUCAACCGAGAUUCCGCUAGUAGUGGCGAACGAACGCGGAAGAGCCCAAACCGGAUUGCUUGCAAUCCGGGGUUGUGGGACAGACGAUAUGGACUUAAUCAAUCUAGUAGAAGGUUCUGGAAAGUUCCGCCGUAGAAGGUGAUAGCCCUGUACACGAAAGAUUGAUUAUACCUAGUCUGCAUCCCGAGUAGGUCGGCACACGUGAAACGCUGACUGAAUCUGGGGGGCCCACCCUCCAAGGCUAAAUACUCGUCAAUGACCGAUAGUGAACCAGUACCGUGAGGGAAAGGUGAAAAGAACCCUGGAAAGGGAGUGAAAUAGAACCUGAAAUCAUGUGCGUACAAACUGUGGGAGCCCUUCGGGGUGACCGCGUGCCUUUUGCAUAAUGAGCCUGCGACUUACGUUCUAUAGCAAGGUUAAGUGGAGUAACUGCCACGCAGCCGAAGCGAAAGCGAGUGUGAAUAGCGCGAUAUAAGUUAUAGGCCGUAGACCCGAAGCCUAGUGAUCUAUCCAUGGCCAGGAUGAAUCUCCGGUAACACGGAGUGGAGGUCCGAACCCUUGCGAGCUGAAAAUCGCUGGGAUGAGCUGUGGAUAGGGGUGAAAGGCCAAUCAAACUAGGUGAUAGCUGGUUCUUUCCGAAAUAGCUUUAGGGCUAGCCUCGCGCAAGUUGCGCUCGGGGGUAGAGCACUGAUAUCUUGCGGGCUUCUUACCGAGGUACCAAUAGAUCUCAAACUCCGAAUACCGAGUGGCAUUAUCGCGGGAGUCAGACUGCGGGGGAUAAGCUCCGUAGUCGAAAGGGAAACAGCCCAGACCGCCAGCUAAGGUCCCUAAUUCAGACUAAGUGGUUAGAAGGAAGUGGAACUGCAUAGACAGCCAGGAUGUUGGCUUAGAGGCAGCCACCAUUUAAAGAGUGCGUAAUAGCUCACUGGUCGAGUGGUUCUGCGCCGAAGAUGAUCGGGACUAAGUCUGAAACCGAAGCUGCGGAUAUGGACUUGUUCCAUAUGGUAGGAAAGCGUUGUAUACCGGGUUGAAGCGGAAGGGUAACCGACCGUGGACUGUAUACAAGUGACCAUGCAGGCAUGAGUAGCGAAAAACCAAGUGAGAAUCUUGGUCACCGAAAGCCUAAGGUUUCCCGUGGGCAGGAUCGUCCGCCCGGGGUUAGUCGGAUCCUAAGGCGAGGCCGAAAGGCGUAGUCGAUGGACAACAGGUUAAUAUUCCUGUACCGCUGAUUGUUGGCAAUGGAGUGACGCAGGAGGCUAGGUGAGCCAUCUGAUGGAAUAGAUGGUCUAAGGUUGUAGGGUGAAUGGUAGGUAAAUCCGCCGUUCGUGAAGCCUGAGAACUGAUGGGUAGGCAAACCUUCGGGUACGCUGAAUUCACUGAUGCCAUGCUGCCAAGAAAAACUUCGUUUUGUGUAUUCAACAAAGAGCGUCCGUACCGCAAACCGACACAGGUAGGCAGGUCGAGAAGACCCAGGUGCGCGAGUUAAACCACGUUAAGGAACUCGGCAAAUUAACCCCGUAACUUCGGGAUAAGGGGUGCCUCAUUAUUGUGAUGGAACUUGCUUCCUAAGCGAGAAGAGGUUGCAACUAAGCGGCUCAGGCGACUGUUUAUCAAAAACACAGCACUCUGCUAACUCGUAAGAGGAUGUAUAGGGUGUGACACGUGACCAAUGCCGAAAGGUCAAGGGAAUAGGUUAGUCCUCGGACGAAGCUUUGAACCGAAGCCCCGGUGAAUGUCGGCCGUAACUAUAACGGUCCUAAGGUAGCGAAAUUCCUUGUCGGGUAAGUUCCGACCCGCACGAAUCGUGCAACGAUCUGAGCACUGUCUCAACGUGGUACUCGGCGAAAUUGUAGUUCCGGUGAAAAUGCCGGAUACCCGCAGCAGGACGGAAAGACCCCGUGAACCUUUACUGUAACCUGAUAUUGGUGUUUGAUCUUUAAUGUGUAGGAUAGGUGGGAGUCUGUGAAAUAGCGUCGUCAGGCGUUAUGGAGACUAUGGUGAAAUACCACCCUUUAAAUAUUGAGCAUCUAACACGACUGCAUGAAUCUGCGUCGUGGACCGUGUCAGGGGGUCAGUUUGACUGGGGCGGUUUCCUCCCAAAAAGUAACGGAGGAGUUCGAAGGUACACUCAGCAUGGUUGGUAAUCAUGCGCUAGAACGCAAACGCAUAAGUGUGCUUUACUGUAAGACCGACAGGUCGAGCAGUUACGAAAGUAGGAGUUAGUGAUCCAGCGAUGGAAUGUGGAAUCGUCGUUGCUCAUCGGAUAAAAGGUACUCCGGGGAUAACAGGCUUAUAGCGCCCAAGCGUCCAUAGCGACGGCGCUGUUUGGCACCUCGAUGUCGGCUCAUCACAUCCUGGGGCUGAAGAAGGUCCCAAGGGUUCGGCUGUUCGCCGAUUAAAGUGGUACGCGAGCUGGGUUCAGAACGUCGUGAGACAGUUCGGUCCUUAUCCGCUGCGGGCGCAGGAUUAUUGAUAGGAGCAUUCCCUAGUACGAGAGGACCGGGAAUGAGUGACCUCUGGUGUUUCGGUUGUGGAGCCAAUCCGCACUGCCGAGUAGCUAAGUCGCGAAAGGAUAAGCGCUGAAAGCAUCUAAGCGCCAAGCCCCCCUAAAGACGAGUAAUCCCUCUCCUUUUGGAGCUAAAGACUCCCGGAAGACUACCGGGUUGAUAGGUCGGAUGUGUAAGAUCAGCAAUGAUUUCAGCUAACCGAUACUAAUCAGUCGUGAGGCUUGACCAC
rnacentral:rRNA from 1 species